rnacentral:rRNA from 1 species
AUUUAGAGGAAGGAGAAGUCGUAACAAGGUUUCCGUAGGUGAACCUGCGGAAGGAUCAUUGUCGUUGCCUCACAAACGGGACCACUCGCGAAUUGGUUGAAACACUCCCGAGGCGGUAGACGAGCGGCGUGCGUCGCCCUGAGUCCCCCGCUCGGUGCCCGGGUGCUAACUAUAGCAUCGGGCAACCCCAAUAAAAACCCCGGCGCUGGUUGCGCCAAGGAAAUGAAACUUACGUGUGUGGCCUCGGCGAACCGGAGACGGUUCUUGUCCGCGGUCGUGACGAAAAUUAAAUUAAAAAUGACUCUCGGCAACGGAUAUCUCGGCUCUCGCAUCGAUGAAGAACGUAGCGAAAUGCGAUACUUGGUGUGAAUUGCAGAAUCCCGUGAACCAUCGAGUCUUUGAACGCAAGUUGCGCCCGAAGCCACUAGGCCGAGGGCACGUCUGCCUGGGUGUCACGCAUCGUAGCCCCAAGCCACGUCCACCCCCCGAUUGAUUAGGGGUGACGAGGUGCUUGGGGGAAUUUGGCCUCCCGUGAUCCGUGCAUUGCGGAUGGCCGAAAAAGGAGCCUGUGCGGGGCAAUCGCCACGUUCCACGGUGGAUGAGCAGAUGCCUCGAGACCGACCAUGCGUUGGUUGUCCCUAUGGAUGGGCUGUCAGACCCUUGGGAGCGACGAAGCUUUCCCGAAGCGACCCCAGGUCAGGCGGGGCUACCCGCUGAGUUU